CUAGGAAGAGAACUCUGGGUCUUGAUACUGGGUCAACAUCCCAGAGAACACAGAACGGGCAUCCCGGAAUUCAAAUACGUGGGCAACAUGCACGGAAACGAGAUGGGGCUAAAUUUGGAAUUGGAGGCUUCUUUAAAUAGAUCCAGCUCUGCAUUUGUUUAGUUUUGUUUCUUGUUUGGGCGAGAGGGGGCCAGUGCUGGGCUGAAGGGGCGUAUUUGGUAAGGGGUGUGUGGGAAAAAGGGUCUGUACACAAAAGCAUUACAGUCUGAGGAACCGGCCGGGAUGUCAAUGAAGAGCAGUGGACUGUGACCUUCACCAGGAAAAAAAAAUUCCAAGGUGGGGUGUAUGGUGGGGAUCUUUUCACCAAUGUGCUCCGCCCCCAUGCCUAUUGUGAAUUCAGUACGUUCUGUCUUUGUGAGGUGGACUAAACUAAAUUUGCUGAA